AGCGAACGCUGGCGGCAGGCCUAACACAUGCAAGUCGAACGGAUCCUUCGGGAUUAGUGGCGGACGGGUGAGUAACACGUGGGAACGUGCCCUUUGGUUCGGAACAACUCAGGGAAACUUGCGCUAAUACCGGAUGUGCCCUUCGGGGGAAAGGUUUAUCGCCAUUGGAGCGGCCCGCGACUGAUUAGCUAGUUGGUGGGGUAAAGGCCCACCAAGGCGACGAUCAGUAGGCGGUCCGUGAGGUUGAUGAGCCAACUUGGGACGGACACACGGCCCAGACGCCUACGGGGGGCAGCAGUGGGGAAUCUUGCGCAAUGGGCGAAAGCCUGACGCAGCCAUGCCGCGUGAAUGAUGAAGGUCUUAGGAUUGUAAAAUUCUUUCACCGGGGACGAUAAUGACGGUACCCGGAGAAGAAGCCCCGGCUAACUUCGUGCCAGCCGCCGCGGUAA
rnacentral:rRNA from 1 species